UCCCGCCCCUCUCUCCAGCAAUCCUCUGGGAGCUGCACGCUCAAUGGGCUAUCAGGCUUGCCCAUCACUCUCACGCCCCCCUCCACUACCCCUGAAUAGGUGGGAUCCAGACAGAUACAGGCACUCCCAGCCCCAAGUCCCCAGCCAAUCUCUCCCAGGACCGCCUGGGACCUCCCAGCUCUGAUGUGCUACCUGCCUUACCAGCUCAGGACCUGCAGGGUUUGGUCACACUGACAGCCUGCCCUUCUAUUGUCUGGUAAUGCAGUCUAACCCAGGUACCAACGUGCUAGGAUUGCCUGGUCCAUGCUGCUAGGAUUCUGCUCUGUGAGUCCAGCCACAGGUGAAGGUUAAGCUCCCUAAGACCCACAGUGGGAGUGGAUUUCGGUGACUGUGUGCUUCUCCCCCUCCCUUCGGCUUGGGUAACUGCAGCAGUUUCUUGUGAAAAUGCAAGGAGAGGCCUGGGGAGGGCAGGACAAGCUGGUGGUUGCCUGGCUUGGUUUUUUUUUUUUUGGCAGGGGAUGGGGGGCUGGCCAUAGGCCCCUUCAGGGUCCACAUCUGCUGGGUUGGGGCUCCGCCAAAGACGGCUGACUGGUUUAGUUGCCCGGCUGCCGCGGGCAGGGAGCUGGCUGGCAGGCUUUCUGCAGGAUGCUAAUGAGGGCAGUCACAGGCGAGGGGGGGAGGCGCGCUUUUGUCCUGCACUUGUCCUUGGUGGAGGGUCCUCAGAGGGAGACAAGGGGCCCUCCUCAGAUCCAAGUGUCCGUGAUUAGCCUGCCAUCACUCACUUUGAUGGAUCCCAGGGCUCUGGGGGGUGUGGACAGAGAUGGGGAGGGACAGGGAGCAAGCCAAUUCUGUGCCGCCAUCCCGUGAUUCCCAGUGAGUGUCCUUACAGAAUCGCUGCUUAAUCCUGUCUCCUCCACCCUCUUCCUUUCCCACUGUAAGCCUUUGCUGUACCUGUGAUGUCCUCUCCAGGCUCACAUUGCCAGGAGUGGAUCUCUGGAUGAGGUCAUCUUAGAGCCUGCUUCUGCAGGAGUUUCUCCUCUUUCCAAACUCACAGAGCCAUGUCUGGGUUUUCAUCUGCUGCUUUUCAUCUGCCCAUAUUUUGGUCCUGGUGGUCUCUUCCUAUUUGUCUGUGAGUUGCUUAGUGCUGGCAUGGUGUGUCACUGAUCACUAGUGGCUUCAUCCUGCCCAGGAUGGGGGCUCGCACCUAGGAAGUGCUCAGUAGAUAUUCACUGAAUGAUCUCAGGGUGGUGGAACACAAAUGGAUCUCAAGCUUCAUUUUGCAGAUGGGGAAGGAUGUGUGACUUGUGCAAGGUCACACAGAGCAAUGAGUGACUCAGUCUCCCAGCCCCACUCAGGCCUCCUUGAGAGCAGGGCUUCUCAAAUUUUGGUUCAGGGACACCCAAGGAAAGAGGAGAGGAUUCAGGUAGGACAUAAACAUGAAUGGGGAAAAAUAAGCCCUCUGUAUUGCCACAACCUCUGACAGAAACUGAGCCUCUCAUCCUUUGCUGAUGUAGGCACAUCACAGCACCCUGUGGCUGAGCCGUGUCUGGCUUUUGUUACCAGUGGAAAUUGUGUCCUAGCUAUGGUAGGGUAACCUUAGGUAUCAUUUAUGACUAUUCCCAAUCUGUAUGGUAGGUAUUAAAUUUGUUGCUAGAUCUUGUUAUUUAAUCCAUUAAUAAAGGAGCACACAUGGUCAUUAUGUUGUAAAAUCUUAAAGACACUUUGACAAUUUCAGUACCAUUGGUUUUCUAUAUGAUUUUAUGUAUUUGGGAAAUUUAUUUUAUUUUAUUUGUGAUGCUGGGGACUAAACCCAGGGCCUCUCACAUACCAGGCAAGUGCUCUACCCUUGAGCCACACCCCCAAUACUAAGGUAUUCAUUUUGAAAGGGAUCACAGACUUUACCACUCUGCCCAAGAGGUCCAUGGCAUACAAAAGCUUAAAACCCCUGCACAAAGGAACAUCCCUGGUUGACUCUUCAGCCCAGAGACUGUGUCUUUGAUCCAUCUUUUGCAAAGAAGGUUGGAGGAGAUGUAGACACCUGCUAGUGUGAUUGGAAGAGGCUCGGGGUAGGGGUCACUCCUCCAGCACCACCCCCUUGUCCUGUCACUUUUUAAACGUAGCUGCUAUUUACUGAGUACCACACACAUGCCCAUCACUGUUCUUAAUACUGGGAAUAGAUCUCUGAACCAAACU
rnacentral:tRNA from 1 species